GGCUCAGCGCCCCCUCUGGGCUAAACUGGGCCCCUCACAGAUACCAUUUUUAGCUCUUACUGAUAACCCUACGAAAUGUUGUUGUCGUUGUCUCCACUUUACAAAGGAGGAAACUGAGGCCACGUACUCAAGUCCGUGCUGCUGAUUGUGUGCAGCCAGCCCUACAGUCACCAUGGAGGAGAAUCCACAAGAGAAAAUCUUGACUGAGAGUGGAUUGGUGAACCUCCCCUGCCGGUAGGAAAAGAAAUCAAUCCAGCCUUUACAGAACUUUGGUUAAAAUAUGCAGAAUCAUGACUUUGAAAACACAGAGGCAGAAGACUAUAAAGAAUAGAAAAAGUUAUGCCCAAGGAUGCAAGACUAUCUUGC